GUUGCCCUGGUAGAGUAUGGAAGUGGAACUUGUAGUCUUGUGACACUAUGUUUAGAACCCACUUGUCCUGGGUUAUGAUGUGCCAGUUUUGAG